rnacentral:rRNA from 1 species
CGGCUAAAUGAGGACAAAGCUGUCUCUUACGGCCUAGCCAAUGAAAUUGAUCCUCCAGUACAAAAGCUGGAAUAAACUCAUAAGACGAGAAGACCCUGUGGAGCUUUAAAACCAAGAUCAUUAAACUAUGCUCCUUGGAUUUUUAGUUGGGGCGACUUUGGAGCAAAAAAAACCCUCCAAAACAUAAAUUUAAUUAUUUAGACCAACACACCAAGAAAAUUAUAUUAGACCCAGCAGUAUUUUUUACUGUCUGACCAAUGAACCAAGUUACCCCAGGGAUAACAGCGCUAUCCUCUUCUAGAGUCCCUAUCGACAAGAGGGUUUACGACCUCGAUGUUGGAUCAGGACACCCCUAUAAUGCAGCCGCUAUAAAAGGUUCGUUUGUUCAACGAUUAAAGUCCUACGUGAUCUGAGUUCAGACCGGA